rnacentral:rRNA from 1 species
GACGAACGCUGGCGGCGUGCCUAAUACAUGCACGUAGCACGCAGUUGCGAACGGGUGAGUAACGCGUAGGUAACUUCCUCAUAGCAGGGGAUAACUAUUGGAACCGAUAGCUAAUACCCCAUACUGUGAGAUGGCCCGGCGUUUGAUUAGCUAGUUGGUGAGGGAAAGGCACACCAAGGCGACGAUACCUAGCCGACCUGAGAGGGUGAACGGCCACAAUGGGACUGAGAAACGGCCCAAAAGCCUACGGUAGGAAGCAGUAGGGAAUUAUUGGCAAUGGGCGGAAGUCUGACCGAGCAAAGCCGCGUGGGUGAAGAAGGGUUUCGGAUCGUAAAGGUCUGUUGUUAGAGGAGCGUUAACUAACCAGAAAGGGACGGCUAACUCCGUGCCAGCAGCCGCGGUAAUUC